rnacentral:rRNA from 1 species
GAUGAACGCUGGCGGCGUGCCUAAUACAUGCAAGUCGAGCGAACGGACGAGAAGCUUGCUUCUCUGAUGUUAGCGGCGGACGGGUGAGUAACACGUGGAUAACCUACCUAUAAGACUGGGAUAACUUCGGGAAACCGGAGCUAAUACCGGAUAAUAUUUUGAACCGCAUGGUUCAAAAGUGAAAGACGGUCUUGCUGUCACUUAUAGAUGGAUCCGCGCUGCAUUAGCUAGUUGGUAAGGUAACGGCUUACCAAGGCAACGAUGCAUAGCCGACCUGAGAGGGUGAUCGGCCACACUGGAACUGAGACACGGUCCAGACUCCUACGGGAGGCAGCAGUAGGGAAUCUUCCGCAAAGGGCGAAAGCCUGACGGAGCAACGACGCGUGAGUGAUGAAGGUCUUCGGAUCGUAAAACUCUGUUAUUAGGGAAGAACAUAUGUGUAAGUAACUGUGCACAUCUUGACGGUACCUAAUCAGAAAGCCACGGCUAACUACGUG